CUGAGAUCAUUACAAGAAUGAAAGAUACUAGGAAGGGGUGUUAGAUGAAGUUACAGCCCAUGAAUAGCAAUAGUGUGACCUAUUGAUGCAUCUAUUCAUGAAAAUGGGAGAGCAAGAGGCAAAUAACUUUCACCUGGCUUCUAGUAUUCAUUCACCUACCCAGUAAGAAAAAAAAGUAUGGCUUCUGUUUUAAUCAUGUAGGAAAUGAGCUAGGCAACCGGUAAUAACACAUUGUGCUGUUAUAGAGAUUACAUUGAUACUUUGCCCAGCAACAAGAAAAGGAAAGUUUUGGUUCGGCAGAAUAAUCCAAAUGAUGUUGGUUUGCACUUGUGCACAAAAGAGUAGAAGCUCUGAGAAGCCUUUGACUGACAUCAUCCCCACAGUUCCCCUCUCUCCCCACAGUAAGCUGUCGCCCCUGAAAUGGCUUAUGAGUGUAAACUCUUUGGGGCAGAGGUUGGCGUCUCUUCAGUGGGUGAGAUUCCAUAGCCCAAGAGAGGGGCACCUAAGCAGCUUUAGGAUGGCCUUUGCGCCGUCCCAAUCCUGGCCUUCUCUGAGGACUCAAGAGGCACCUGGCAUAACAUAGACAGUCCGGAGGGCCUUUCUAAGUUUCAGCAACCUUCUCAGGCUCCCCUAUGGGCUGCAGCACCGCCUGGAAUUUCUGCAGCACCACAUGCUGGGGCCCUGCCCCUGACAUAUCCCUUCCGCCCUCAGCUCUGCCCUGACAUGUCCUGCUAUGUCAGGGCUUCCAAGGGGGCUCUAGGAAGGUAACCUUAGGUCUGUCUCUGCAAAGUCUGCACCAGAGGAAUCCUUCCCUGGCUGCAAUUGUGGGGCCCCCUUAUGCUGCUCUGGCCUUUUACCUGGUGAAAAGAGACUGAAGCAGGGCUCAGGACCUUACCCCAUGCUUGUACAGUGCCUAGCACAAUGGGGACUCACGCCUGGGUGAGGUCUGUAAAUGUUACCUGUAUUCAAAUCAUAUUAAAUCUCAGGAAGAGUCCAAAAGUGUCUGAUGCAGCUGGAUCUUUUGGAGUGUACUUAAGUCAUCACUAAUUUCAAGUCGCUGAUCUGAGUUUCACUGACAUCCAAGCCGAUUUUGGGCUUGACAUAUCAGCACAAACAAAAAGUUUGAAAAUACAGUAAUUUACUUCAGUGUUUUCAGCAGUGUUGCUUUUUCUCCCAGGUAGUGAUAGUGGUGUUAUUAAAAAUUAACAAAUA